rnacentral:rRNA from 1 species
GACGAACGCUGGCGGCGUGCUUAACACAUGCAAGUCGAGCGGUAAGGCCCUUUCGGGGGUACACGAGCGGCGAACGGGUGAGUAACACGUGGGUGACCUGCCCUCAGCUCUGGGAUAAGCCUGGGAAACCGGGUCUAAUACUGGAUAUGACUCCAUGACGCAUGUUGUGGGGUGGAAAGCCUUGUGCGGCUGAGGAUGGGCCCGCGGCCUAUCAGCUUGUUGGUGGGGUGAUGGCCUACCAAGGCGACGACGGGUAGCCGGCCUGAGAGGGCGACCGGCCACACUGGGACUGAGACACGGCCCAGACUCCUACGGGAGGCAGCAGUGGGGAAUCUUGCGCAAUGGGCGAAAGCCUGACGCAGCGACGCCGCAUGAGGGAUGACGGCCUGG